GAAAAGACUGAAAUCAACCUGCUCCCCUGGCAAAACUCUAAAUGACAGGCAGGAAUAGUGGCGCGGUUUGUAUUUUGUGAGCUCUGUCCUUUCUACUUCAAAAAGGAUUUCCAGUGACAAUAGAUAUGACUUAAAAUACCAAAAGGAUCAAUAUUCUAGAGAGUUGGCACAUGAAAUAGAGAGGGCUGACUUAAGAGGGCUGAUUCUCGCUCCCUAAUUAGUCCACACCCUUUGAGUGGGCCAAUAGAAUACAGCAAAGGUGAUGGAAUGGACGUGGUUAUGUAUGUGAUGGACAUGUCCAUGAUUGCCUGCACGGGAUUGCAUACAUGAGAUGGUAGGAUGUGUCUUGUUGGAGUCUCUUGUUGCUGGCUUUGGCAAAGGAAGCAGAAAUGCAUGGACCACCUCUGUGGACAUAGUCAAGUGGCAAGGAAUUGCAGGUGCAAAGAACCGAAUUUUGCAAACAACCUAGGUGAGCUUGGAAGCAGGGUCUUUCCCACGGAGCCUCAGUGGAGACCACA
rnacentral:lncRNA from 1 species